CGACCUUAAACGGUGUACACUCGGGGUGGGGCCAUUUCACCGGUCCCGUCUCUUAGCUAACGCGUUAAGUGUACCGCCUGGGGAGUACGGCCGCAAGGCUAAAACUCAAAGAAAUUGACGGGGGCCCGCACAAGCAGAGGAGCAUGUGGCUUAAUUCGAUGCAACGCGAAGAACCUUACCUGGAUUUGACAUACGGAUGCACGGCUUAUGAAAGUAGGCCUCCUUCGAGGGUUCCGUACAGGUGCUGCAUGGCUGUCGUCAGUUCGUGCCGUGAGGUGUUUGGUUAAGUCCACCAACGAACGCAACCCCUUUGACAUGUUGCCAGCGGGUAGAGCCGGGAACUCGUGUCACACUGCUAGUUUACGCUAGAGGAAGGUGGGGAUGACGUCAAGUCAGUAUGGCCCUUACAUCCAGGGCUGCACACGUGCUACAAUGGCUGGUACAGAGCGACGCGAGACCGCAAGGUGGAGCAAAUCGCAGAGAGCCAGCCUCAGUUCAGAUUGGGGUCUGCAACCCGACCCCAUGAAGUCGGAUUUGCUAGUAACGGCGUAUCAGCUACGACGCCGUGAAUGCGUUCCCGGGCCUUGUACACACCGCCCGUCACAUCAUGAAAGCCGUCUGCACCCGAAGUCGGGCAUUUGUCCGCCUAAGGUGUGGGUGGUGAUUGGGAUG
rnacentral:rRNA from 1 species